CCCUCCCUCCCACAUUCACUCUUGGAUUGCUACCUCUGGGCAAUAAAUCACCAGCCAAGGUGAGAAUAUUCAGGUUAGUUUGGGAUAGAUGCCAAGCUGAGUAUCUAUGUAUUUGAGAUUUGAAAAUUUACAUCGGAUGGUAUAUCACCUUGAAGAUCAGUUGCUUCUAAUGUACUUGUCCUGACCUUCAUGUUAGGAAUAAGGG
rnacentral:lncRNA from 1 species